rnacentral:rRNA from 1 species
CGUAGGGUGCGAGCGUUAAUCGGAAUUACUGGGCGUAAAGCGUGCGCAGGCGGUUUGUUAAGAUAGGCGUGAAAUCCCCGGGCUCAACCUGGGAACUGCGCUUAUGACUGGCAAGCUAGAGUACGGCAGAGGGGGGUGGAAUUCCACGUGUAGCAGUGAAAUGCGUAGAGAUGUGGAGGAACACCAAUGGCGAAGGCAGCCCCCUGGGUCGAUACUGACGCUCAUGUACGAAAGCGUGGGUAGCAAACAGGAUUAGAUACCCUGGUAGUCCACGCCCUAAACGAUGUCAACUAGGUGUUGGGAGGGUAAACCUUUUAGUACCGGAGCUAACGCGUGAAGUUGACCGCCUGGGGAGUACGGCCGCAAGGUU